rnacentral:rRNA from 1 species
UGAGUAACCUGCCCUUAACUCUGGGAUAAGCCUGGGAAAACUGGGUCUAAUACCGGAUAUGACUCCUCAUCGCAUGGUGGGGGGUGGAAAGCUUUUUGUGGUUUUGGAUGGACUCGCGGCCUAUCAGCUUGUUGGUGAGGUAAUGGCUCACCAAGGCGACGACGGGUAGCCGGCCUGAGAGGGUGACCGGCCACACUGUGACUGAGACACGGCCCAGACUCCUACGGGAGCAG